UACGUAGAGUGCAAGCGUUAAUCGGAAUUACUGGGCGUAAAGCGUGCGCAGGCGGUUUGUUAAGUCUGUUGUGAAAUCCCCGAGCUCAACUUGGGAAUUGCAAUGGAUACUGGCAGGCUGGAGUAUGGUAGAGGAAGGUGGAAUUCCCGGUGUAGCAGUGAAAUGCGUAGAGAUCGGGAGGAACACCAGUGGCGAAGGCGGCCUUCUGGACCAAUACUGACGCUCAUGCACGAAAGCGUGGGGAGCAAACAGG
rnacentral:rRNA from 1 species